GUGUUAUCCAAAAUACCUCAAGUUGAUUCUCUAAAGGAGGAGCAGUCCCGAGUCAUGGCUAUAGAAGAAGUGGCUGGCUAUGCUUUCUUCUGAAGUCUAUCAAAAAAACCUGGUGGGAAUUGUUGUGGAUGAAGUUCACGUAAUCUACAGAUGGGGCAACGGUGUAAAGGGGAAUCCAGCAUUGAGAGAGAGAGCUUUUCUCGCCUGGGACAACUCUGCUCAGUUGUGAAAGAAAGGCACACCUGUCAUGGCUUUGACGGCUUCAGCAGAAGUUGUCAACAGAGAGAGGGUCAUCAAGCUGCUACACAUGCACAAUGCAACCCGGGUG